CUACGGGAGGCACCAGUAAGGAAUAUUGGGCAAUGGACGCAAGUCUGACCCAGCCAUGCCGCGUGCAGGAUGACAGCCCUACGGGUUGUAAACUGCUUUUAUACGGGAAAAAUUCCCUGGUCGUGCACCGGGGUUGAUGGUACCGUAAGAAUAAGCAUCGGCUAACUCCGUGCCAGCAGCCGCGGUAAUACGGAGGAUGCAAGCGUUAUCCGGAUUCAUUGGGUUUAAAGGGUGCGCAGGCGGAAUGAUAAGUCAGUGGUGAAAUCCUACGGCUCAACUGUAGAACUGCCAUUGAUACUGUUGUUCUUGAGUACAUUUGAAGUGGGCGGAAUGUGUCAUGUAGCGGUGAAAUGCUUAGAGAUGACACAGAACACCGAUUGCGAAGGCAGCUCACUAAACUGUAACUGACGCUGAGGCACGAAAGCGUGGGGAUCAAACAGGAUUAGAUACCCCCGUAGUC
rnacentral:rRNA from 1 species